GACGAACCGUGCGAACGUUGUUCGGAAUCACUGGGCUUAAAGGGCGCGUAGGCGGCAGAUCAAGUCCGGGUGAAAUCCUCCAGCUUAACUGGAGAAGUGCCUUGGAUACUGAUUUGCUCGAGGGAGGUAGGGGUCGAGGGAACUUCUGGUGGAGCGGUGAAAUGCGUUGAUAUCAGAAGGAACGCCGGUGGCGAAGCGCUCGACUGGAUCUCUUCUGACGCUGAGCGCGAAGCUAGGGAGCAACGGG
rnacentral:rRNA from 1 species